ACUCCCAUUCUUUGUCAUCGCAAAACCUACUAUACAUUCUAACAAAACUCCUACACAAAAACAUCCAAUAUUUUCUUGUUGUUACAUUUCGUCUUGUUGGUGCUAGCUAGGUCAACAUUGACAAUACCCUACACAGACACACACAAUUAAAUCAAAUAAAUGACAAUAAUCAAAAUUUUACCGAAAUCAACUGAAAUAAUUAAUCCCAACAGACUGAAAACUUGUAGAGGAGAUCAAUUAUAGCGAUUUGGAUUAAAUUUUGACGGGGUUAAGAAAAAAAUAAUUAAAUUGAAAAAAAUCAAAAACCUAGAUAUCAACACAAUUACUCGUUAUUCAUCUAGGGUAUCAGGCACCCAUUGUUGACCUAAUACCCACGACCAGAUUAAACACACCACACACACUAGUUUGUAGAAAAAAAUAUAGAAAAUGCAGAAAAGAAAAUAAGUCAGAGAAGAAUUGUUACACGAAAUGAAAAUUAUGAAGAACUUGAUAACAUAAAUGGCUGUCAAAGGAUUAAUAUACGGCGGCCCAUGACUAUCCACAUAUUUUGGAGGAGCGGCGGCGGAUGGCUCUGCCGGAGGUAAUGGAGAAGAGUUUGUGGUUGGGGGAGAAGCAUGGCGGAAAAGGUU
rnacentral:lncRNA from 1 species